CAGGCUAUUUAAAAUGCAAUUUAUUUCACCUGCUAAGUGUGUUUUGCCACACAGUGUUUCUAUGCCCAUUGCUGGUAACUUGUCCCAGACACCUCCCCAGGUUGCCAUAACGGAGCAUCAUGCACAGGUUGUUGUAGUGCCAAUAAUGGGUGGUACAGCCCUCAUUCCACUCUACCCUGCACUACCCUGAACAUCUAUCUACCCUCAGCAGUCUAAGGCCCUCUCCAGGUACCAGCAUCUAGAUUAUGGUUUCUUCCCCAGGCUUCGGGGAUGCACACACCCGGGUUGGGACCUCUGCACACAGCUUUGGAGGUGUACACACCCGGGUUGGGGCCUCUGCACACAGCUUUGGAGGUGUACACACCGGGGUUGGGGCCUCUGCACACAGCUUUGGAGGUGUACACACCCAGGUUGGGGGCUCUGCACACAGCUUUGGAGGUGUACACACCGGGGUUGGGGGCUCUGCACACAGCUUUGGAGGUGUACACACCGGGGUUGGGGCCUCUGCACACAGCUUUGGAGGUGUACACACCCGGGUUGGGGCCUCUACACACAGCUUUGGAGGUGUACACACCCGGGUUGGGGCCUCUGCACACAGCUUUGGGGGUGCAGACACCUGGGUAGGGGCCUCUGCACUCAGUUUUGGGGGUACAGACACCUCAGUUAGGGCCUCUGCCUUGGGCUUUGGGGGUGCAGACACCUCAGUUAGGGCCUCUGCCCCGGGUUUUGGGGUUGCAGACACCUCAGUUAGGGCCUCUGCCCCGGGCUUUGGGGUGCAGACACAUGGGUUAGGGCCUCUGUACCCGACUUUGGGGCCACAGACACAAAGGUUAGGGCCUCUGCACCAGACACAAAGGUUAGGACCUCUGCCCCGGACUUUGGGGGUGCAGAUACCAGGGUUAGGGCAUCUGCCCCGGGCUUUGGGGGUACAGACACCAGGGUUAGGGCCUCUGAAGCAGGCUUUUGGGGUGCAGACACCUGGGCAUCUGCAGCAGGCUUUUGGGGCACAAACACCUGGGAUAGGACCGCUGCACCAGGCUUUGGGGACACAGAUAACUUGUUUAGGGCCUCUGAAUCCAGUUCUUGGGGCACAGACUCCUGCGUUAGGGCAUUUGCCUCGGGGCACAGACACCUGGGAGUCUGUGUUGAAGCUUUGGGGGCGCAGAGAUACAGUCGGCAUGCUUUUGUAGUUUCCCAUGGUGUGAGUAUGGUUUUGUUUUCUCCAGUUUGGGUCCUAGUUAGAACGGCUCUGCAAGUUCUGUGGAUUCUUACUGUAAAGCAGGCAGGUGGCACCAAAUGAUCACAAAUGGCUUUGCUGGGUCUGCAGUGAUGCAACAGGCCGUGGAUUUCCCACAGUUGUAAGAGAUCUCAGUCCUAAGCCUGUGUGGUGCUUCUUUAAGUACAACACUGCCACCUCCUGGUGAUACAGCACACUGCAUCCUUUA
rnacentral:lncRNA from 1 species